rnacentral:rRNA from 1 species
CCCGCUGAACUUAAGCAUAUCAAUAAGCGGAGGAAAAGAAACUAACAAGGAUUCCCCUAGUAACUGCGAGUGAAGCGGGAAAAGCUCAAAUUUAAAAUCUGGCGGUUUCACCGUCCGAGUUGUAAUUUAGAGAAGUGUUAUCCGCGCUGGACCGUGUACAAGUCUCCUGGAAUGGAGCGUCAUAGAGGGUGAGAAUCCCGUCUUUGACACGGACUACCAGGGCAUUGUGAUACGCUCUCAAAGAGUCGAGUUGUUUGGGAUUGCAGCUCAAAAUGGGUGGUAAAUUCCAUCUAAAGCUAAAUAUUGGGGAGAGACCGAUAGCGAACAAGUACCGUGAGGGAAAGAUGAAAAGAACUUUGGAAAGAGAGUUAAACAGUACGUGAAAUUGCUGAAAGGGAAACGCUUGAAGUCAGUCGCGUCGUUCAGGAUUCAGCUUUAGCAUCUGCUUUGUGCAUUUCCUGUUUGACGGGUCAGCAUCAAUUUCGACCGCCGGACAAAGGUCAGGGGAAUGUGGCAUCCUUCGGGAUGUGUUAUAGCCCUUGAUUCGCAUACGGCGAUUGGGAUUGAGGAACUCGGCGCUUCACGCGUCCAGGAUGCUGGCAUAAUGGCUUUAAGCGACCCGUCUUGAAACACGG